rnacentral:lncRNA from 1 species
UGAUGCUUCCACCCCAGCCCAGCACCACCUGGGCAGGAGAAGGAGCUGCUCCAGGCUAAGCGCACCCACGAGCCAGGUGCCCUACACAUGGGCACACCAGUGUGUGUGAAAAUCCUGGCUGCUGUGGCAAAGCACCACACACUGGGAGGAGACUGGGACCAAAAGUGUGAACAGACAAUUCCAAGGAGAAGAGGAGGAGGAGGAGGAAGAAGGCGAGGAAGAAGGACGAGGGGAAGGGGAAGAGGAGGAGGAAGAAGCAAAGGAAGAAGGAGAAGAGGAAGAAGGUGAGGAAGAAGGAGGAGGGGAAGGGGAAUGGGAAGGGGAACAGGAAGAGGAAGAAGGCCAAACAGUGGGUAGCCCCAGACCCUGGCAGCACAUCACGUGAGUACACAGGUGGUGAAUUUUCUCCCAUCACAUUGGCAAAAUAUUCUUGGCAAGCACUUGGGAAGACAGACAUGAUAAGAUCCUACUGAAGGGGCUAAGACAGUGCAUUUGAG